UACGGAGGGUGCGAGCGUUAUCCGGAAUCACUGGGCGUAAAGGGCGCGGAGGCGGUCUAGUAAGUCCGAUGUUAAAGAGCGGGGCUCAACCCCGUCACGGCGUUGGAUACUGUUAGGCUUGACGACUGGGGAGGUGAGUGGAAUUACCAGUGUAGCGGUGGAAUGCGUAGAUACUGGUAGGAACACCCAUUGCGAAGGCAGCUCACUGGACAGUACGUGACGCUGAGGCGCGAGAGUGUGGGGAGCAAACCGG
rnacentral:misc_RNA from 1 species